GAAAGAGUCAACAAGAAACAUAUUGACAGAACGCGAACUAGCUAAAUUGAGUGAAGAUGUCGCCGCCGAUAUCUUCGAACAUUUCUACUUUACGUUCGGUUCGGUGCGGGAUGGGGCGCAACUUUAUGAGCCUUGGUGAAGGAAUGAACAGCCUACAGAGUGGACCUCUGCAACAACCAUCGAUUCAGAUGAUAGGCCAUCCGUUCGAAUUUGCUCAUUUCGCAGUUCAUGACUAAUGAUGAGUGCAGGUCAAACAGUAAAGAAAUUGGCAACAUCCGUGACGGAGAACCGAAGUUACAAGAGGGCUUCCAAGGCUUUAAUGCAACUGAUGCCGUAGACACUUCUCAAAAGCUUUGGAGGGUGUACAUUAAGGAGUCCGAAGUUGUGAUCUUGAUGUCCCAACUAUGCCAAUCUUCGAUGCGAUGCGCAAUCUUCAAAUUAGUAUCUCAUCCUGCUGUACACAGCUGGACAGGAUUGGCUAUCGUUGAUCGACUGAACAAGACCACUACGUCUUGGGAGCAUACAUAAGGAUUAAAUGAUUAC